rnacentral:rRNA from 1 species
UUUGGUUAAGUUAGAAAGGGCGCACGGUGGAUGCCUUGACACUAGGAGUCGAUGAAGGACGGGACUAACGCCGAUAUGCUUCGGGGAGCUGUAAGUAAGCUUUGAUCCGAAGAUUUCCGAAUGGGGAAACCCACCAUACGUAAUGGUAUGGUAUCCUUAUCUGAAUACAUAGGGUAAGGAAGACAGACCCAGGGAACUGAAACAUCUAAGUACCUGGAGGAAGAGAAAGCAAAUGCGAUUUCCUGAGUAGCGGCGAGCGAAACGGAACAUAGCCCAAACCAAGAGGCUUGCCUCUUGGGGUUGUAGGACAUUCUAUACGGAGUUACAAAGGAACGAGGUAGACGAAGCGACCUGGAAAGGUCCGUCGUAGAGGGUAACAACCCCGUAGUCGAAACUUCGUUCUCUCUUGAAUGUAUCCUGAGUACGGCGGAACACGUGAAAUUCCGUCGGAAUCUGGGAGGACCAUCUCCCAAGGCUAAAUACUCCCUAGUGAUCGAUAGUGAACCAGUACCGUGAGGGAAAGGUGAAAAGCACCCCGGAAGGGGAGUGAAAGAGAUCCUGAAACCGUGUGCCUACAAAUAGUCAGAGCCCGUUAACGGGUGAUGGCGUGCCUUUUGUAGAAUGAACCGGCGAGUUACGAUCCCGUGCGAGGUUAAGCUGAAGAGGCGGAGCCGCAGCGAAAGCGAGUCUGAAUAGGGCGUUUAGUACGUGGUCGUAGACCCGAAACCAGGUGAUCUACCCAUGUCCAGGGUGAAGUUCAGGUAACACUGAAUGGAGGCCCGAACCCACGCACGUUGAAAAGUGCGGGGAUGAGGUGUGGGUAGCGGAGAAAUUCCAAUCGAACCUGGAGAUAGCUGGUUCUCCCCGAAAUAGCUUUAGGGCUAGCCUUAAGUGUAAGAGUCUUGGAGGUAGAGCACUGAUUGGACUAGGGGUCCUCAUCGGAUUACCGAAUUCAGUCAAACUCCGAAUGCCAAUGACUUAUCCUUAGGAGUCAGACUGCGAGUGAUAAGAUCCGUAGUCAAAAGGGAAACAGCCCAGACCGCCAGCUAAGGUCCCAAAGUGUGUAUUAAGUGGAAAAGGAUGUGGAGUUGCUUAGACAACUAGGAUGUUGGCUUAGAAGCAGCCACCAUUUAAAGAGUGCGUAAUAGCUCACUAGUCGAGUGACUCUGCGCCGAAAAUGUACCGGGGCUAAAUACACCACCGAAGCUGCGGAUUGAUACCAAUGGUAUCAGUGGUAGGGGAGCGUUCUAAGGACAGUGAAGUCAGACCGUAAGGACUGGUGGAGUGCUUAGAAGUGAGAAUGCCGGUAUGAGUAGCGAAAGACGGGUGAGAAUCCCGUCCACCGAAUGCCUAAGGUUUCCUGAGGAAGGCUCGUCCGCUCAGGGUUAGUCAGGACCUAAGCCGAGGCCGACAGGCGUAGGCGAUGGACAACAGGUUGAUAUUCCUGUACCACCUCUUUAUCGUUUGAGCAAUGGAGGGACGCAGAAGGAUAGAAGAAGCGUGCGAUUGGUUGUGCACGUCCAAGCAGUUAGGCUGAUAAGUAGGCAAAUCCGCUUAUCAUAAAGGCUGAGCUGUGAUGGGGAAGCUCCUUAUGGAGCGAAGUCUUUGAUUCCCCGCUGCCAAGAAAAGCUUCUAGCGAGAUAAAAGGUGCCUGUACCGCAAACCGACACAGGUAGGCGAGGAGAGAAUCCUAAGGUGUGCGAGAGAACUCUGGUUAAGGAACUCGGCAAAAUGACCCCGUAACUUCGGGAGAAGGGGUGCUUUCUUAACGGAAAGCCGCAGUGAAUAGGCCCAAGCGACUGUUUAGCAAAAACACAGCUCUCUGCGAAGCCGUAAGGCGAAGUAUAGGGGGUGACACCUGCCCGGUGCUGGAAGGUUAAGGAGAGGGGUUAGCGUAAGCGAAGCUCUGAACUGAAGCCCCAGUAAACGGCGGCCGUAACUAUAACGGUCCUAAGGUAGCGAAAUUCCUUGUCGGGUAAGUUCCGACCCGCACGAAAGGUGUAACGAUUUGGGCACUGUCUCAACCAGAGACUCGGUGAAAUUAUAGUACCUGUGAAGAUGCAGGUUACCCGCGACAGGACGGAAAGACCCCGUGGAGCUUUACUGUAGCCUGAUAUUGAAUUUUGGUACAGUUUGUACAGGAUAGGCGGGAGCCAUUGAAACCGGAGCGCUAGCUUCGGUGGAGGCGCUGGUGGGAUACCGCCCUGACUGUAUUGAAAUUCUAACCUACGGGUCUUAUCGACCCGGGAGACAGUGUCAGGUGGGCAGUUUGACUGGGGCGGUCGCCUCCUAAAGUGUAACGGAGGCGCCCAAAGGUUCCCUCAGAAUGGUUGGAAAUCAUUCGUAGAGUGCAAAGGCAUAAGGGAGCUUGACUGCGAGACCUACAAGUCGAGCAGGGACGAAAGUCGGGCUUAGUGAUCCGGUGGUUCCGCAUGGAAGGGCCAUCGCUCAACGGAUAAAAGCUACCCCGGGGAUAACAGGCUUAUCUCCCCCAAGAGUCCACAUCGACGGGGAGGUUUGGCACCUCGAUGUCGGCUCAUCGCAUCCUGGGGCUGUAGUCGGUCCCAAGGGUUGGGCUGUUCGCCCAUUAAAGCGGUACGCGAGCUGGGUUCAGAACGUCGUGAGACAGUUCGGUCCCUAUCCGUCGUGGGCGUAGGAAAUUUGAGAGGAGCUGUCCUUAGUACGAGAGGACCGGGAUGGACGCACCGCUGGUGUACCAGUUGUUCUGCCAAGGGCAUAGCUGGGUAGCUAUGUGCGGAAGGGAUAAGUGCUGAAAGCAUCUAAGCAUGAAGCCCCCCUCAAGAUGAGAUUUCCCAUAGCGUAAGCUAGUAAGAUCCCUGAAAGAUGAUCAGGUUGAUAGGUUCGAGGUGGAAGCAUGGUGACAUGUGGAGCUGACGAAUACUAAUAGAUCGAGGACUUAACCAUAU